rnacentral:rRNA from 1 species
CCUACGGGUGGCUGCAGCGACGAAUCUUCCGCAAUGGGCGAAAGCCUGACGGAGCGAUGCCGCGUGCGGGAUGAAGCGGCUUUGCCGUGUAAACCGCUGUCAGGGAAUAGAAAUACUGAUCAUUCCCAGAGGAAGGGGCGACUAACUCUGUGCCAGCAGUCGCGGUAAGACAGAGGCCCCGAGCGUUAGUCGGAAUCACUGGGCUUAAAGGGUGCGUAGGCGGAUUCAUAAGUGUCGUGUGAAAGCCCACUGCUCAACGGUGGAACCGCACGGCAAACUGUGAGUCUUGAGGAAGCUAGAGGUCGCUAGAACGAAUGGUGGAGCGGUGGAAUGCGUAGAUAUCAUUCGGAAUGCCAAAGGUGAAGACAGGCGACUGGGGCUUUCCUGACGCUGAGGCACGAAAGCGUGGGGAGCAAACAGGAUUAGAUACCCUUGUAGUC